rnacentral:rRNA from 1 species
AUACGUAGGUGGCAAGCGUUGUCCGGAUUUACUGGGUGUAAAGGGCGCGUAGGCGGGCAGGCAAGUCAGAUGUGAAAUCUCUGGGCUCAACACGGAAAUUGCAUUUGAAACUGCAGGUCUUGAGUAUCGGAGAGGCAAGAGGAACUCCUAGUGUAGCGGUGAAAUGCGUAGAUAUUAGGAGGAACACCAGUGGCGAAGGCGACUUCGUGGACGUCAACGGACGCUGAGGCGCAAAAGCGUGGGGAGCAAACGGGUUUAGUUACCCUGGUAGUCCACGCCCUAAACGAUGAAUACUAGGUGUGGGGGGACUGACCCCCUCCGUGCCGGAGUAAACACAAUAAGUAUGCCGCCUGGGGAGUACGACCGCAAGGUUGAAACUCAAAGGAAUUGACGGGG